GCCUGGGGCGGCCGCUUACCAUGCAAGUCGAACGGUGAAGCCCCGCUUGCGGGGUGGAUCAGUGGCGAACGGGUGAGUAACACGUGAGCAACCUGCCCCGGACUCUGGGAUAAGCGCUGGAAACGGCGUCUAAUACUGGAUACGAGCCGUGAAGGCAUCUUCAACGGUUGGAAAGAUUUUUCGGUCUGGGAUGGGCUCGCGGCCUAUCAGCUUGUUGGUGAGGUAAUGGCUCACCAAGGCGUCGACGGGUAGCCGGCCUGAGAGGGUGACCGGCCACACUGGGACUGAGACACGGCCCAGACUCCUACGGGAGGCAGCAGUGGGGAAUAUUGCACAAUGGGCGGAAGCCUGAUGCAGCAACGCCGCGUGAGGGAUGACGGCCUUCGGGUUGUAAACCUCUUUUAGCAAGGAAGAAGCGAAAGUGACGGUACUUGCAGAAAAAGCGCCGGCUAACUACGUGCCAGCAGCCGCGGUAAUACGUAGGGCGCAAGCGUUAUCCGGAAUUAUUGGGCGUAAAGAGCUCGUAGGCGGUCUGUCGCGUCUGCUGUGAAAACCCGAGGCUCAACCUCGGGCCUGCAGUGGGUACGGGCAGACUAGAGUGCGGUAGGGGAGAUUGGAAUUCCUGGUGUAGCGGUGGAAUGCGCAGAUAUCAGGAGGAACACCGAUGGCGAAGGCAGAUCUCUGGGCCGUAACUGACGCUGAGGAGCGAAAGGGUGGGGAGCAAACAGGCUUACAUACCCCUGGUAGCCCACCCCCGUACACGUUGGGGAACCUAGUUGGUGGGGGUCCUUUUCCCCCGCGAUUCCCCGUGACGCCAGUUAACGUGUGACGCAGCUAACGCAUUAAGUUCCCCGCCUGGGGAGUACGGCCGCAAGGCUAAAACUCAAAGGAAUUGACGGGGACCCGCACAAGCGGCGGAGCAUGCGGAUUAAUUCGAUGCAACGCGAAGAACCUUACCAAGGCCUUAUGUCUUGGGCUUCACGCAUG
rnacentral:rRNA from 1 species